AAGAAUUCCAAAGAUAGUCAUAUUGAGCGUGGAAACAGUUUUUUUCUUACACUUUGGUCCUGUCUGAUUUUUAAAAAUACAAGUAGACAGUCUACACUGGCCUUAGGCUGAGGACUGGGGAAUCCCAGUUUCCAUUGCUGCCAGGUGUCUAUAUUUCCUCUGUCUUAAACAAGACACAGGAGCGUGCACACACACACACACACACACACACACACACACACACCUUCCCCAGCAGGAAGGCUCCAUGCAAAGUGGUUGUCACAGCACUCCCAGCAUUUCCUGUCAUUAUCACUAUGGGGGAGACAAAGCUAAGUGUUAUUAAUAAGGACAAUACUCAAACAAUAGGAACCAGAGGAAGAAUUCCAAACUCCAAGCCAAUGCAAAACUGAAUUCAUGCUGUCCUCUUAUACACUUUUUUUUUGAGUUGGGGGUCUUGCUAAAUUUCCCAAGUGGGCAGUCAACCUUCAAUCAUCCUGCCUCAGCCUCCUGAGUAGCUGGGAUUAUAAAUGCAUUGAUGCUUUCCUUUUAAAGUUAGUUUUUUCUAAAAUGUCCAACCUAGUCAUUAUACUUUUUAUUAAAAAACUUCCUCCUUAACCUCUGAAGAUUGAUUCUGCACUAUCAUGUUUCAAUAAUGACACCUCAGAGGGGUUCUGUAGCCUCUGUUGGGUUUUGUUGUUUUUCUGGUUGUUCAAGUUGUAAGCUGUCCAACUGGAAGGAUGAGAAGGAGGUGAGGGGCCAGGAGCAAGGAUCCUCAGAGCCACUGGGAUGGCAAGAGCCUCAUAUACUUUGAGCAGGUGGUACAUCUGAGCGGUGCUGUUGGUUGGUUGGUUUUUCUCACAUGUGUUCAGUCUGUGAGAAAAAUUCUGAAAUAAAAACUGUGCAUCCAACUGGUGGCCACCUCUGUUCACUUGGACUUGCAAGUACCAUACAAGCCAGUUACAAAAUCCAGAGAGUAAAAUUUGUAGGUUAAAAAAAUGAUGAGGCUGGGUGUGGUGCCACAUGCCUAUAAUCCCAGCAUCUCAGGAAGCAGAGACAGGAGGAUCAUGAGUUCAAAGCCAGCCUUAGUAAUUUAGCAAGGCACUAAGCAACUCAGUGAGACCCUGUCUCUAAGUAAAAUACAAUAUAGGGCUGGGUAUGUAGCUCAAUGACUGAGUGCCCUUGAGUUCAUUUCCCAGUACCAAACAAAAAACAAACAAAC
rnacentral:lncRNA from 1 species